rnacentral:rRNA from 1 species
UGACCGCUGGCGGCGUGCCUAAUACAUGCAAGUCGAGCGAACGGACGAGAAGCUUGCUUCUCUGAUGUUAGCGGCGGACGGGUGAGUAACACGUGGAUAACCUACCUAUAAGACUGGGAUAACUUCGGGAAACCGGAGCUAAUACCGGAUGAUAUUUUGAACCGCGUGGUUCAAAAGUGAAAGACGGUCUUGCUGUCACUUAUAGAUGGAUCCGCGCUGCAUUAGCUAGUUGGUAAGGUAACGGCUUACCAAGGCAACGAUGCAUAGCCGACCUGAGAGGGUGAUCGGCCACACUGGAGCUGAGACACGGUCCAGACUCCUACGGGAGGCAGCAGUAGGGAAUCUUCCGCAAUGGGCGAAAGCCUGACGGAGCAACGCCGCGUGAGUGAUGAAGGUCUUCGGAUCGUAAAACUCUGUUAUUAGGGAAGAACAUAUGUGUAAGUAACUGUGCACAUCUUGACGGUACCUAAUCAGAAAGCCACGGCUAACUACGUG